rnacentral:rRNA from 1 species
UACGAAGGGGGCUAGCGUUGCUCGGAAUCACUGGGCGUAAAGCGCACGUAGGCGGCUUUCUAAGUCAGGGGUGAAAUCCUGGAGCUCAACUCCAGAACUGCCUUUGAUACUGGGAAGCUCGAGUCCGGAAGAGGUGAGUGGAACUGCGAGUGUAGAGGUGAAAUUCGUAGAUAUUCGCAAGAACACCAGUGGCGAAAGCGACUCUCUGGACGGCAACUGACGCUGAGGCACGAAAGCGUGGGGAGCAAACAGG